AGUGAACGCUGGCGGUAGACCUAACACAUGCAAGUCGAACGGCAGCACAGUGAGAGCUUGCUCUUACGGGUGGCGAGUGGCGGACGGGUGAGGAAUACAUCGGAAUCUACUUUUUCGUGGGGGAUAACGUAGGGAAACUUACGCUAAUACCGCAUACGACCUACGGGUGAAAGCAGGGGAUCUUCGGACCUUGCGCGAUUGAAUGAGCCGAUGUCGGAUUAGCUAGUUGGCGGGGUAAAGGCCCACCAAGGCGACGAUCCGUAGCUGGUCUGAGAGGAUGAUCAGCCACACUGGAACUGAGACACGGUCCAGACUCCUACGGGAGGCAGCAGUGGGGAAUAUUGGACAAUGGGCGCAAGCCUGAUCCAGCCAUACCGCGUGGGUGAAGAAGGCCUUCGGGUUGUAAAGCCCUUUUGUUGGGAAAGAAAAGCAGCAGGUUAAUACCCCGCUGUUCUGACGGUACCCAAAGAAUAAGCACCGGCUAACUUCGUG
rnacentral:rRNA from 1 species